rnacentral:rRNA from 1 species
UACAGAGGGUGCAAGCGUUGUUCGGAUUUAUUGGGCGUAAAGAGCUCGUAGGCGGUUCGAUAAGUCGGACGUGAAAUCUCCACGCUCAACGUGGAGGGGCCGUUCGAUACUGUCGUGACUCGAGUCCGGUAGGGGAGUGUGGAAUUCCCGGUGUAGCGGUGAAAUGCGCAGAGAUCGGGAGGAACACCCGUAGCGAAGGCGGCACUCUGGGCCGGUACUGGACGCUGAGGAGCGAAAGCGUGGGAGC